GUGAGGAAUAUUGGGCAAUGGAGGAAACUCUGACCCAGCCAUGCCGCGUGAGUGAAGAAGGUUUUCGGAUUGUAAAGCUCUUUCGCACGGGACGAUGAUGACGGUACCGUGAUAAGAAGCCCCGGCUAACUUCGUGCCAGCAGCCGCGGUAAUACGAAGGGGGCAAGCGUUGUUCGGAAUUACUGGGCGUAAAGGGAGUGUAGGCGGUUAUGUAAGAUAGCGGUGAAAUGCCGGGGCUCAACCUCGGAAUUGCCGUUAUAACUAUGUAACUAGAAUGAUAGAGAGGAUAGCGGAAUACCCAGUGUAGAGGUGAAAUUCGUAGAUAUUGGGUAGAACACCGGUGGCGAAGGCGGCUAUCUGGCUAUAAAUUGACGCUGAGGCUCGAAAGCAUGGGGAUCAAACAGG
rnacentral:rRNA from 1 species